AAGCACUGCCAACAAAGUUCACAGUAAAUAUACUCAAUAUUGGAAUAAAGAAUUACCAUAGGAAGCCCCCAAACUCCAGGUUCAUUUGCUGGGACCAGCAAGCCCUAUAAUAGAGCAACAUUUCCCCCAUCAGCAGGUCAGGAGAAAAGGCAUAUUUCAUGCUCACGUUGCUGACCCAGACCUCUGGCUGAAAAGGAAUGAUAUUAAUGUGCUCUGGAGUAGGUUUAUCUGACUCUUAAUCAGCAAGCCGUUAGCCUGACAAAAGGGUCAAAGUAGGGAGUAUAAAACACACUGGUAUAAGAGCGAUCCAUGGGAUUUCCAGAAAAGGCUUGGAAAAAGAGAGUCUGUGGCACUUCCUCUAAUUAUUUUUAUUACCGUGAUUGACUUCAAAACAGCAGCAGCUCAGGAAAAGAAGUGGGAAGAAACCUUACAUUUUUGGAGAGGAUCCUUUGCUCCUGGCCCAUCCCUGCUUGUGGUGCUCCUCUGCUUCUGCUGCUAUCUGUAGUAUUCCUUCCCAGAAUGAAACGCCCAGUUGAAGCUGAUGCUGCUGACAGUGGAAACCUUUUCUGGUCCUGUAUGUCUUAUGCUUUUCCAGUCCUGAGGGGAAAGGUAUUUUAUACUGGUGGUGUGAAAAUGAUACAAGUUCCUGACAAAACUGUAU
rnacentral:lncRNA from 1 species